rnacentral:rRNA from 1 species
AACGAACGCUGGCGGCAGGCUUAACACAUGCAAGUCGAACGGGUGUCGCAAGACAUCAGUGGCAGACGGGUGAGUAACACGUGGGAACCUUCCUAGGGGUACGGAACAACUCAGGGAAACUUGAGCUAAUACCGUAUACGUCCGUAAGGAGAAAGAUUCAUCGCCCCUAGACGGGCCCGCGUCGGAUUAGCUAGUUGGUGGGGUAACGGCCUACCAAGGCGACGAUCCGUAGCUGAUCUGAGAGGAUGAUCAGCCACACUGGGACUGAGACACGGCCCAAACUCCUACGGGAGGCAGCAGUGGGGAAUAUUGGACAAUGGGCGAAAGCCUGAUCCAGCCAUGCCGCGUGAGUGAUGAAGGCCUUAGGGUUGUAAAGCUCUUUU